rnacentral:lncRNA from 1 species
UCCAGGAAUGUACUACCAAAGUUCUAUCAAUAUUUGAAUGUCCUGGACAUUUAGGGAACAUUCGGUGAACAUCUGUUUAAAUUAUUCCUGGAAUGUUACCAUAAGACAUUCUGUGAACAUACUGCCAAUGUUCCUAUAUUUUAAGUUGCGAAAUAAUACAUACGUGUAACAGAUACAACAUUACUUAUAACAUACCAGACAAACUAAGUGACACUUUAGGCCUACAGUGCAAUAAUAUGUCAAAUUUAAAGAGUUUCCCAAGUUCAAUUAAUACAAAUUAUAAACAUACAAAUAUAAUAAAAAUUAUUGUUCGCGAAUAUUCAAUUUGGAAUGCGAUUUUGUUAAUAAAAAAAAUACUUAUAACUUAUGCAAAACCCAAGAGAGGCAUUUAUAUUAUUAUUUCUUUUGCGUUCAUUUUCAAAUUCGCCGUGCAUAUAUUUUUGUGCAUGGCGCUUGAGAGGGCAUCACGUGACUAAAAACGACCAACCAACGACCUCGCUUCGGCCAUCUUGGCAUCUUCAUCUUGGCCACCUUCACCUUGCUUUGCCGUGGGUGGAUCGUUGUUUGUAUUAUUUUUGUGCUUUUUAAGAAUAUUUUUUUAAUUCGGAUACUUUUAUAAUAGCUUUAAUAGUAUUAUUAACAUAGUGAAUAAAAUGGUGUCCUGUUUUUAACGCAGUUGGAGUAGCAGAAACAAAUGUAGAUAAAAAAAUCUGCAGGAAUAACGUUUCAAUUAUGACAGAAGCUCCAAACAAAUGACUGUGAAUGAAAAGCCCUAUUAAAAGCUUUCCAGAAGAUCCUGCGAAGAAGACAUGAAGUAUAGAUCAGAUUUGUUAAUAGAUGAGUAUGUUCAAAACACUUUUUAGAAAAAGAUAUUGACAGAACUUCACUUUCAUCUGUUCGUUUAAGAGACUGUGCUGUUCCAAUAGCUUAUGUCACACAGAAUCAGCUGAGAGAAGUGGUCUACAAAAAACCAGAAAGGAAACGGAAUAUGUGGCUACGAAAAGCAAAAGAAAGGUUUACAAAGCAAAUGUGGCACAUUUUUUUAUAAUAUUUAGGAAUGUCAGUAAAUUACAUUAAAAAAUGCAUGUAAAGAUUUUUUGCAAUAAAAAUGUUUAUAUUUAUCAAGGAUGUAUUAUUUGGUAUGGCCACAUAUCGUCAGUGAUGUGACAAUACCUCCUAUCUGUUUUUUUUCAAGAGAUUUGUAAGAUAGACUAAAAACUUGU